rnacentral:miRNA from 1 species
GGUUUCUCUAUGCAGCUCAGGCUGGCCUUGAGCUCACUUUGUAGCCCAGGCUGGCCUUGAACUCACAGCGAUGCUCCUGCCUCAGCCUCCUGAGUGCUGGGAUUAUAGGAGUGUGCCACCACGCUCG